rnacentral:rRNA from 1 species
CGUAGGGUGCGAGCGUUAAUCGGAAUUACUGGGCGUAAAGCGUGCGCAGGCGGUUUUGUAAGACAGGCGUGAAAUCCCCGGGCUCAACCUGGGAACUGCGCUUGUGACUGCAAGGCUAGAGUACGGCAGGAGGGGGGUGGAAUUCCACGUGUAGCAGUAGAAAUGCGUAGAGAUGUGGAGGAACACCAAUGGCGAAGGCACGCCCCCGUGGGUCGAUACUGACGCUCAUGCACGAAAGCGUGGGUAGCAAACAGGAUUAGAUACCCUGGUAGUCCACGCCCUAAACGAUGUCAACUAGGUGUUGGGUGGGUAAAACCAUUUAGUACCGGAGCUAACGCGUGAAGUUGACCACCUGGGGAGUACGGCCGCAAGGUUA